UCGUGGAGACUCUGAGGCAGAAGGCUG
rnacentral:piRNA from 1 species